UACGGAGGGUGCAAGCGUUAUCCGGAUUCACUGGGUUUAAAGGGAUCGCAGGCGGAUUGGUAAGUGAGUGGUGAAAGCCUUAAGCUUAACUUGGGAACUGCCAUUGAUACUAUCAGUCUUGAAUAUUGUUGAGGUUUGCGGAAUGGGUCAUGUAGCGGUGAAAUGCAUAGAUAUGACCCGGAACACCUAAUGCGAAGGCAGCAGGCUGAGCCAAGAUUGACGCUGAGGCUCGAAAGCGUGGGGAUCAAACAGG
rnacentral:rRNA from 1 species